rnacentral:rRNA from 1 species
UGAAACUGGGGAUCUUGAGGGCAGGAGAGGAAAGUGGAAUUCCUGGUGUAGCGGUGAAAUGCGUAGAAAUCANGAGGAACACCGGUGGCGAAGGCGACUGUCUGGACUGUCCCUGACGCUG